AUUGAACGCUGGCGGCAGGCUUAACACAUGCAAGUCGAGCGGGGGGAGGUAGCUUGCUACCUAACCUAGCGGCGGACGGGUGAGUAAUGCUUAGGAAUCUGCCUAUUAGUGGGGGACAACAUUUCGAAAGGGAUGCUAAUACCGCAUACGCCCUAAGGGGGAAAGCAGGGGAUCUUCGGACCUUGCGCUAAUAGAUGAGCCUAAGUCGGGUUAGCUAGUUGGUGGGGUAAAGGCCUACCAAGGCGACGAUCUGUAGCGGGUCUGAGAGAGUGAUCCGCCACACUGGGACUGAGACACGGCCCAGACUCCUACGGGAGGCAGCAGUGGGGAAUAUUGGACAAUGGAGGGAACCCUGAUCCAGCCAUGCCGCGUGUGUGAAGAAGGCCUUUUGGUUGUAAAGCACUUUAAGCGAGGAGGAGGCUACCGAGAUUAAUACUCUUGGAUAGUGGACGUUACUCGCAGAAUAAGCACCGGCCAACUACGUGCCAGCCGCCGCAGUAACAC
rnacentral:rRNA from 1 species